UUGUUUUUUUGAAUAUUUGAAAACUGGCUGUGUCUGAAAUCUUCAAGCCUUCUAAUAAGUUGGGGUUCUCUCCAGGUCAUAUCUUUUGGCUUUUACACAGCCAAAGCAAACGACAGGUCGAAAGUUCAAAAUUAAAUUUUAAACGUUUUCAUUCAGGCUCUGGAAAGCUGUGUGGUGGCGCAUGCCUGUAAUCCCAGCUACUUGGGAGGCUGAGGCAGGAGAAUCGCUUGAACCCAGAGGUGGAGGUGCAGUCCAGCCUGGGCAACAAGCGCUAAACUCCAUCUUAAAAAGAAGUCAUAGCGUUUUUUGGAGCAGACCAAUUCAUGAAUCAGCACCAAACCACAAGCAGUAUGAGCUCCACCUAGAAGGUGUGUGGGAAAGCGAUUUUGUAAGACGUGUUUGCACAAGCAAGACAAAGGAAGCAUUUGAUUGGUCAGAGUGGAAAGUUCCGGAGGUUAGUGGGUGGUUUCUGCUUGGCACAAUCUCUCAUUAGAAGUCACUUGGCAGUUUCUGAUUGCUUUAAGUUUCCUUCCACUGUUGGGUUUCCAUGUGCUUAUGUAAGACACAAGACACCAUCUCAGCCUAAUGGCCUUCUAAUUAAUUUGUUUUCAUAAGGGCAUACUGAAUCCUUGGCCCUUGCCUCAUAGAUUGGAAUAAUCUGAGAAAAGAAAAACUUCUAUUCUGAACACUUUCUCACCUCUAUCCUGCAGUUUGCCUAGUGGGAAAUAACUUGAGGCCGUAACUGUCAGGGAAGUUUUCUCUCAACUUUCUCAUACCGGUGUCCCUUGUUCUGGUUGACAAAUGGGCCGAGGCAGGAAGGAUGUCUGAUCACAAGUCAAGAUUGCCUCCUGUUUUUAAGGGAGCCUAUGACAGUCCAAGAAGCCCACACUUACCUCUGUCAAAACCAAAUUCUGCUUGUUCCACAGGAAAUGUUGGUAUGCAAGCACUUGCAGUGUGCCUACAUCCCAAAUGCUAGCCCAUGGUACCCAUUGUCUGCCUGGAUCUGAAUCAUGAUUCCAAGACGCAGAACACUACAGCUUCCAGGAGAAUACCCACCUCACUGAUGACACAACAUCUGAAUGCACACUUACUGGCCAACACGUGCUUUGCUGUAAAUCAGUAUGAAGUCUUCCUAGGGGUCCUGGCCUGAAUGAGAUGAGAACCUUGGAGGCUGCUUUUGACUCAUGUGAAUGUCUUCCCCAGGAGUUAAGUGGGAGUGCUGGGGAGAGAGUGGCUUGAGGAUGCACAGCCAGCAUGACACUACUAUUAUGUGAUUACUGUCGACGUUCAUAACCAUAACUAAUGACUAAUUAUGACUUUACCCUGGCGCAAAUGGUCAGAAUGGAAACAAAUAACAAGCUUUACAGUUUUUCCUGCUCUAUUAAGGUAUAAUUUACAAAUAAUGAAAUUCACCCAUUUUAAGUCUGUAAUUUGGGCUGGUCACGGUGGCUCAGUCCUGUAAUCCCAACACUUUGGGAGGUAGAGGCGGGUGGAUCACCUGAGGUCAGGAGUUCGAGAACAGCCUGACCAACAUGGAGAAACCCCGUCUCUACUAAAAAUACAAAAUUAGCUGGGUGUGGUAACACAUGCCUGUAAUCCCAGCUACUCGGGAGGCUGAGGCAGGAGAAUCGCUUCAACCCGGGAGGUGGAGGUUGCGGUGAGCCGAGAUCACGCCACUGCACUCCAGCCUGGACCACAAGA
rnacentral:lncRNA from 1 species